GUGGGAUUUAGUCUCUGACAAGCAAAUGAUGCAAGAAGAGCAACCUCUACAGGUUGCAAGGUGUACUAAAAUUAUCAGCCCAAACACAGAAGAGGCAAAAUAUGUGAUAAAUGUCAAACAAAUCGCCAAGUUUGUCGUUGGCUUAGGCGACAAAGUCUCUCCUACAGAUAUUGAAGAAGGGAUGCGUGUGGGAGUUGAUAGAAACAAAUAUCAAAUUCAGAUACCCCUGCCCCCAAAGAUUGAUCCCAGCGUCACAAUGAUGACUGUAGAAGAGAAGCCUGAUGUCACAUACAAUGAUGUUGGUGGAUGCAAGGAGCAAAUAGAGAAGAUGCGAGAAGUUGUUGAGCUGCCAAUGUUGCAUCCCGAAAAGUUCGUGAAACUCGGCAUUGAUCCUCCUAAAGGAGUCCUGUGUUACGGCCCACCAGGUACCGGUAAGACUUUGUUGGCUAGGGCAGUAGCCAAUAGGACUGACGCAUGUUUCAUCCGGGUCAUCGGAAGCGAACUUGUUCAGAAGUAUGUGGGAGAAGGGGCUCGAAUGGUUCGCGAACUAUUUCAGAUGGCUCGCUCGAAGAAGGCUUGCAUCGUCUUUUUUGAUGAAGUUGAUGCUAUUGGUGGGGCCCGCUUUGAUGAUGGGGUUGGAGGCGACAAUGAAGUCCAACGUACUAUGCUCGAGAUCGUGAACCAACUUGAUGGCUUUGAUGCUAGAGGAAACAUCAAAGUUUUGAUGGCAACCAAUAGACCCGAUACAUUGGACCCUGCCUUACUGCGGCCUGGACGAUUGGAUCGGAAGGUUGAGUUCGGGCUGCCUGAUCUGGAGAGCCGGACACAGAUAUUCAAGAUCCACACCAGGACAAUGAACUGCGAAAGGGACGUGCGCUUCGAACUUCUCGCCCGACUCUGCCCCAAUUCGACCGGAGCGGACAUACGAAGUGUUUGUACCGAAGCGGGCAUGUAUGCUAUUCGGGCGCGCAGGAAGACUGUUACUGAAAAGGAUUUCCUCGAUGCUGUCAACAAGGUCAUCAAGGGAUACCAGAAGUUCAGUGCCACCCCGAAAUAUAUGGUUUACAACUGAAAAUUCUCCCGAGGGAUUGUAAGAGUUGAUGGGAGUUUAUAAACUGCGAGAUUCAUGUGUGCUAUCUUAUGUUUUAUGGGAACCGGAAUUUGGUUAAACAUUCACACAGUUACUGGUUUAGAUGAAUGUGAUCAAUUGGUUUUGUGAAGCA
rnacentral:misc_RNA from 1 species